rnacentral:rRNA from 1 species
UACAGAGACCACAAGCGUUACUCGGAUUCACUGGGCGUAAAGGGUGCGUAGGCGGCUAUGUGUGUUAGGUGUGAAAUACCAGGGCUCAACCCUGGAACUGCUCCUAAAACUACAUAGCUAGAGUAUUGGAGGGGUAAGCGGAAUUCCCGGUGUAGCAGUGAAAUGCAUAGAUAUCGGGAGGAACACCAACGGCGAAGGCAGCUUACUGGACAAUAACUGACGCUGAGGCACGAAAGCGUGGGGAGCAAAAAGG